GAUGAACGCUGGCGGCGUGCCUAAUACAUGCAAGUCGAGCGAACAGACGAAGAGCUUGCUCCUCUGACAUUAGCGGCGGACGGGUGAGUAACACGUGGAUAACCUACCUAUAAAACUGGGAUAACUUCGGGAAACCGGAGCUAAUACCGGAUAAUAUAUUAAACCGCAUGGUUCAAUAGUGAAAGACGGUUUUGCUGUCACUUAUAGAUGGAUCCGCGCCGCAUUAGCUAGUUGGUAAGGUAACGGCUUACCAAGGCAACGAUGCGUAGCCGACCUGAGAGGGUGAUCGGCCACACUGGAACUGAGACACGGUCCAGACUCCUACGGGAGGCAGCAGUAGGGAAUCUUCCGCAAUGGGCGAAAGCCUGACGUAGCAACGCCGCGUGAGUGAUGAAGGUCUUCGGAUCGUAAAACGCUGUUAUUAGGGAAGAACAAAUGUGUAAGUAACUAUGCACGUCUUGACGGUACCUAAUCAGAAAGCCACGGCUAACUACGUG
rnacentral:rRNA from 1 species